GGUGAGAUGGCCGAGCUGUCUGAGGUGCCCCACUAGGGUGCCACGGGCAUUGAAAUCGGGAUGGUCUGGGUUCGAAACCCGCUCUCACCA